CCCUUAGAUGUUCUGGGCCGCACGCGCGCUACAAUGAUGAAUUCAACGAGUUUAUAACCUUGGUUGAAAAGCCUGGGUAAUCUUUUGAACUUUCGUCGUGAUGGGGCUAGACCCUUGCAAUUAUUGGUCUCCAACGAGGAAUUCCUAGUAAACGCAAGUCAUCAGCUUGCAUUGAUUACGUCCCUGCCCUUUGUACACACCGCCCGUCGCACCUACCGAUUGAAUGGUCCGGUGAAAUCUUCGGAUUGAGACUUUGAUUUCUUCACGGAAAACGCUGUUUUAAGAAGUUGAUUAAACCUUACCAUUUAGAGGAAGGAGAAGUCGUAACA
rnacentral:rRNA from 1 species